AGUGAACGCUGGCGGUAGGCCUAACACAUGCAAGUCGAACGGCAGCACAGUAAGAGCUUGCUCUUACGGGUGGCGAGUGGCGGACGGGUGAGGAAUACAUCGGAAUCUACUUUUUCGUGGGGGAUAACGUAGGGAAACUUACGCUAAUACCGCAUACGACCUACGGGUGAAAGCAGGGGAUCUUCGGACCUUGCGCGAUUGAAUGAGCCGAUGUCGGAUUAGCUAGUUGGCGGGGCAAAGGCCCACCAAGGCGACGAUCCGUAGCUGGUCUGAGAGGAUGAUCAGCCAAACUGGAACUGAGACACGGUCCAGACUCCUACGGGAGGCAGCAGUGGGGGAUAUUGGACAAUGGGCGCAAGCCUGAUCCAGCCAUACCGCGUGGGUGAAGAAGGCCUUCGGGUUGUGAAGCCCUUUUGUUGGGAAAGAAAAGCAGCAGGUUAAUACCCCGCUGUUCUGGCGGUACCCAAAGAAUAAGCACCGGCUAACUUCGUGC
rnacentral:rRNA from 1 species